UCUCUCUCUCCCUCUGAAAACUGGGUGUCUAGAAUUAAAUACAAGUAAUUUAGUUCCACUGUACACACCAUUCUUUGCAUGCCCUCUGCAUGCUAUUCUCCAGAUCUGCACUAGAGGGAGUUACAUCCAUCUACUACAAAUGGUCAAGACAUGGAUAACUAGACUGUCAAAUAUUAUUUUAGUGAAUACUGCAUUAUGUUAUUGUGCUGGCUGUUGAUAGACAACAGUUGUUUACUAUACAUCUGGCCCUGAUGUAUGAGAAAAUACCACAUAUUGACAAUGUAUUUUAGGUGAUUAGGCAAAGAGUGUGCAGUUUUUGAGGUAUAUGUGUGUAAAUAAACUGAAGGACAAACGGUUGGGACCUGUGGAGUAUCUGGGUAGUAAUGACUGUUCAGGUAUGCCAUCAAAUGCUGUGGAAGAGAGCAAGGGGAAGAUAUGAACAUAACACAAAUGUGCAAGACGAACACAGAUUUCAGUCAUGACACUUCUUUUCCCUCAGGCCUAUCAUAUAUUAUCUUAACUGUUCUCACUGGAUUCCUUACAAGUAGUUCUUCUGAUGGUGAGUCGACGAGGUUGGUAUGCACUGUCAGGAAGACGCUCAACUUUCCCUUCAACAAAAUGCUUUGGUUUGCAGAGAACCUGAUAAACAACAGUCACCACAGUUAUGGAUAUCACAAUAAGGAUGAGACCAAACCACACACGUUUACUUUCAUUUCCUGGAUGAGAGAGUAAAGAAAAGAAGUUAGUUCCAAUUCUCCUCUGUGUUCCCGGCAUGGAGAUGUUUUAACUUGAUACUUGUUAAGGCAGCCUGUAGGGACUGCUUUAUCUUGGUACUUAAUUUUUUUAAGUAAACAUGAACAUGAAAAGAUGCCUAAUGAAAAUAGGCACAACAAAAAAAAGAAUAAUCACUAAACAAUACAGGAGGGGGCGGCAUCUCCUUUUAUCUGUAUCUUUCGAGGAGUGGACAAUCAAGUACUAUGGCCCAGCACCGCCCACUGCCCUCACAGUGAGAGAAACCUUUUAGGCCUUCUCACCAUUCGAUAUUAAUAUCUUGUCACCGUGAUCUAAUCACAGUGAUGGGAUGAUGACAGAACUGUGCUUGUACUUGAGUCAUUUCUUCAUUAACCAGAGCCUGCAUUCUCAACAGGUUGAUGAGUAUAUACUCACUACCUUCCAUCUGAUGAGGGCAAUAAAAGGAUGCGGUCUGAUUGUUUCGCUGAGCAUGCAGGAAACAGUGACUGACACCGGAGAAUGGAUGUGGAGGAGUGGUGUUCUGUAAGAGGUUCUGGGUGUUGUUGUUGGGGGUCACACAGCAGUGAAAGAGCCCCUGAAGAUGUUCUGAGCUUCUUAUAAAAGAGCUGGCGUUUUCCAAUUGAUGGUGCACGGUCACAUUAUGUGCUGAGGGACUGUCAACCCGGACAGACAGAGACACUUCCAGGUGUGUC
ensembl:lncRNA